UAACGCGUGAGGAACCUGCCUCAAAGAGGGGGACAACAGUUGGAAACGACUGCUAAUACCGCAUAAGCCCACAGCUCGGCAUCGAUCAGAGGGAAAAGGAGCAAUCCGCUUUGAGAUGGCCUCGCGUCCGAUUAGCUAGUUGGUGAGGUAACGGCCCACCAAGGCGACGAUCGGUAGCCGGACUGAGAGGUUGAACGGCCACAUUGGGACUGAGACACGGCCCAG
rnacentral:rRNA from 1 species